rnacentral:rRNA from 1 species
AAAGCCUCUAAGCUUCAGAUAGUCAGGAAUCGUACCCCAAACCGACACAGGUGGUCGGGUAGAGAAUACCAAGGCGCUUGAGAGAACUCGGGUGAAGGAACUAGGCAAAAUGGUACCGUAACUUCGGGAGAAGGUACGCUCUUGAUGGUGAAGUCCCUCGCGGAUGGAGCUGACGAGAGUCGCAGAUACCAGGUGGCUGCAACUGUUUAUUAAAAACACAGCACUGUGCAAAAUCGCAAGAUGACGUAUACGGUGUGACGCCUGCCCGGUGCCGGAAGGUUAAUUGAUGGGGUUAGCGCAAGCGAAGCUCUUGAUCGAAGCCCCGGUAAACGGCGGCCGUAACUAUAACGGUCCUAAGGUAGCGAAAUUCCUUGUCGGGUAAGUUCCGACCUGCACGAAUGGCGUAAUGAUGGCCACGCUGUCUCCACCCGAGACUCAGUGAAAUUGAAAUCGCUGUGAAGAUGCAGUGUACCCGCGGCUAGACGGAAAGACCCCGUGAACCUUUACUACAGCUUGGCACUGAACAUUGAACCUACAUGUGUAGGAUAGGUGGGAGGCUAUGAAGACGUGACGCCAGUUGCGUUGGAGCCGUCCUUGAAAUACCACCCUUGUAUGUUUGAUGUUCUAACUUAGACCCAUUAUCUGGGUUGAGGACAGUGCCUGGUGGGUAGUUUGACUGGGGCGGUCUCCUCCCAAAGAGUAACGGAGGAGCACGAAGGUGGGCUAAUCACGGUUGGACAUCGUGAGGUUAGUGCAAUGGCAUAAGCCCGCUUAACUGCGAGAAUGACGGUUCGAGCAGGUGCGAAAGCAGGUCAUAGUGAUCCGGUGGUUCUGUAUGGAAGGGCCAUCGCUCAACGGAUAAAAGGUACUCCGGGGAUAACAGGCUGAUACCGCCCAAGAGUUCAUAUCGACGGCGGUGUUUGGCACCUCGAUGUCGGCUCAUCACAUCCUGGGGCUGAAGUCGGUCCCAAGGGUAUGGCUGUUCGCCAUUUAAAGUGGUACGCGAGCUGGGUUUAGAACGUCGUGAGACAGUUCGGUCCCUAUCUGCCGUGGGCGUUGGAAGAUUGAAGGGGGCUGCUCCUAGUACGAGAGGACCGGAGUGGACGAACCUCUGGUGUUCGGGUUGUGUCGCCAGACGCAUUGCCCGGUAGCUAAGUUCGGAAUUGAUAAGCGCU